AUCGCGAUGCAUCGUAGCAAAUUAUUCGUAUCACGGUGGAACUAAUACCAAUGGUUUUAUAUGAGAUUAUACGAUGUCCGGUAUUCAUUCUCAAGUUGUAAUCGAGGUAAAUUCAAUUAACAUUUCUUCCUGUGAUAAAGAGAACUUUGAUUAAUCAGCAUGAUCGGUCGACAAACGACUGGGAUAAAUCGAAAUGAAAUAAAUAAUUGAGACUGCGGUGGAAUUAUUGAAAACACAUUUCACACACAACACGUAUGUAAAAUAAAAUAUUUUUCUGUAGAAUAAUGUUGGUGAUGUUGAAAUGGAAAACGUUAAGGAUUGAUACAAUGCAAAGCAUUCUCCGAUUCUAAUUGAAAAUAAAUAUAUGGAAAAUAUGAGAUACAAAUUUUAUGAUGUAUU